rnacentral:rRNA from 1 species
AACGAACGCUGGCGGCAUGCCUAACACAUGCAAGUCGAACGAGACCUUCGGGUCUAGUGGCGCACGGGUGCGUAACGCGUGGUAACCUGCCCUUAGGUUCGGAAUACCUCCCCGAAAGGGGUGCUAAUACCGGUUAAUGUCUUCGGACCUAAGAUUUAUCGCCUUGGGAUGGGCCCGCGUUGGAUUAGCUAGUUGGUAGGGUAAAAGCCUACCAAGGCGACGAUGCAUAGCUGGUCGGGUAGGAUGAUCAGCCACGCUGGAACUGAGACACGGCCCAGACUCCUACGGGAGGCAGGAGUGGGGAAUAUUGGAGGAGGAGCGAAGGCGUGAUCCAGCAAUGCGGCGUGAGUGAUGAAGGCCUUAGGGUUGUAAAGCUCUUUUACCCGGGAUGAUAAUGACAGUACCGGGAGAAUAAGCUCCGGCUAACUACGUG